ensembl:lncRNA
CACAUAGCCUAUAGUGACUGUAGUUUUGAUGUAAUAUAUAUUUGUUAUUUUACAUACAUAUAUCCCUUGGAACCUGGUAUAAAUAGCGGUUAUUGCAUUUUAGUUCUCCUGUAUGCUGUAUAAAUAUGCAUUGGAUAAUCCAAGACUGAAUAUUCUCUGCGAUUCUCUUCAGCUUGUUCUGUGUUGGUCAGUCUUUCUGUUGACAGUUUUGUAUUUAGGUCACACAGGAGCCCUCGGGCAGCAGUAAAGCAUGUCCUCUACAGGAGUGAUUGACACCUUCUCUGAUGGUGAAUGAAGUCUCCAGCUUCUCUGGGCUCCAGCCACAGUAAUAAACCAGCGCUGCACAAUGACGGAUGCAAUCAUCUUUUAUUUCCCAUUAAGGAAACAACACCUCAUUUUAUGGGCUACUGAACCGAACAGCAUGGAUUGUGAAUUAAAUUGAAAGGUCUUCAGCCGCAGCGUUGUUAACGUCCCGUGGCUGUUCUCCAGUGAUGAGUCCAGAUGGAGGAUAUGUUGGUACCUGCCCUUCUAUUUCCAUUGCCAGCUCACUCCCUCCAGCCCCCGGUACACCUCCACGCCAUCUGUGCCAACCUGCAGUCUCUCCGUCAGACAGUUGCAGGUUCUGUGGUGCGUGGCAGGCCUACAGCUGUGCAGACAGCCAGCCCAACAUCUGUGUGUCCUGUGGGACAGACGGGGGGGAAUGUCCCGCUGAUCUUCUCAGCUGCUGCUGGCCUUAAACACAGGCAUGGGCCGGCAGUUCUGCGGACAGGAUGAGUUUUGCAAUUGCCCCGUUUUAUUGCAUUGUGCCUGUAGAGACCUGCUGGGCGUGGAUCGGUGUGGACAGCCAAUAGCAGGCCAGCAG